rnacentral:rRNA from 1 species
GAUGAACGCUAGCGGCAGGCUUAACACAUGCAAGUCGAGGGGCAGCGCGAUGUAGCAAUACAUUGGCGGCGACCGGCGCACGGGUGCGUAACACGUAUGGAACUUACCCUUUACUGGGAGAUAGCCCGGAGAAAUCCGGAUUAAUAUCCCAUAAUAAACGAAGUGGCAUCACUUUGUUUGAAAGCUCCGGCGGUAAAGGAUGGCCAUGCGCACGAUUAGCUAGUAGGUGAGGUAACGGCUCACCUAGGCUACGAUCGUUAGGGGGCCUGAGAGGGUUAUCCCCCACACUGGUACUGAGACACGGACCAGACUCCUACGGGAGGCAGCAGUGAGGAAUAUUGCGCAAUGGAGGCAACUCUGACGCAGCCAUGCCGCGUGCAGGAAGAAGGCGCUACGCGUUGUAAACUGCUUUUAACCGGGAAGAACCCUCCGACGUGUCGGAGGUUGACGGUACCGGAGGAAUAAGCACCGGCUAACUUCGUGCCAGCAGCCGCGGUAAAGUCAG